CAAAUCUCCCUCAUUGCUCAGAAAUCAGGUUAAGGGGAGUACACUUUUAUUCCUCACAUAGGGAGAUCUCCCUUCAAGUUCUAGUGGGACACUUCACAAAAU